rnacentral:rRNA from 1 species
UACGUAGGGUGCGAGCGUUAAUCGGAAUUACUGGGCGUAAAGCGUGCGCAGGCGGUUUUGUAAGCCAGAUGUGAAAGCCCCAGGCUCAACCUGGGAAUGGCAUUUGGGACUGCAAGGCUGGAGUUUGGCAGAGGAGACUGGAAUUCCUGGUGUAGCAGUGAAAUGCGUAGAUAUCAGGAGGAAUACCGAUGGCGAAGGCGGCAUCCUGGACCGGUAUUGACGCUGAGGCGCGAAAGCUAGGGUAGCAAACGGG